AUCCAAGGUUUCCAGAGUAAAGCUGAUCUGCUCUGGGUAAGUCGGGGCCUAAGGAGAGGCAGAGAUGCGUAUCCGAUGGACAGCAGGUUUAAGAUUCCUGCACCCCUUGUUAUCAGAACUGCGGGGACACGGGAAGGGAAGCAGAGCCGGGAAUGGAAAGCCCGGUGCAAGCGAAGUAGUCGCAGGGUUGGGAAAUCCGCCCUGCAUGAGACGAAGGCGUGAUGCGGAGCGAAAUGAAGUAGUGAAGCUGCGGCCCCUUCCUGUCGAGAAAAGCCGCUAUCGUGUAGCAAGGGCCCGUACCGUAAACCGACACAGGUGGAUGAGGAGAGGAUCCUAAGGCCGGCGGGAGAAGUGUUGUUAAGGAACUCGGCAAAAUGACUCCGUAACUUCGGGAGAAGGAGUGCUGCGCAAGCAGCCGCAGAGAAAUGGCCCAAGCAACUGUUUAGCAAAAACACAGGUCUAUGCGAAACCGGAAGGUGAGGUAUAUGGGCUGACGCCUGCCCGGUGCUGGAAGGUUAAGGGGAGAGCUUAGCGCGAGCGAAGGUUUGAACUUAAGCCCCAGUAAACGGCGGCCGUAACUAUAACGGUCCUAAGGUAGCGAAAUUCCUUGUCGGGUAAGUUCCGACCCGCACGAAAGGCGUAAUGAUUUGAGCGCUGUCUCGACAAUGCAUCCGGUGAAAUUGAAGUACCAGUGAAGAUGCUGGUUACCUGCGCCAGGACGGAAAGACCCCAUGGAGCUUUACUCCAGUCUGGUACUGGGACUCGGUAUUGCAUGUACAGGAUAGGUGGGAGGCUAGGAGAUGGUAACGCCAGUUGCCAUGGAGCCGCUGUUGGGAUACCACCCUUGCAGUAUUGGGUUUCUAACCAGCCGCCGUGACCCGGCGGUGGGACAAUGCCAGACGGGGAGUUUGACUGGGGCGGUCGCCUCCGAAAGGGUAUCGGAGGCGCCCAAAGGUUCCCUCAGAAUGGACGGAAACCAUUCGAAGAGUGCAAAGGCAGAAGGGAGCUUGACUGCGACACCGACGGGUGGAGCAGGUACGAAAGUAGGACUUAGUGAUCCGGUGGUAUAAAGUGGGAUUGCCAUCGCUCAACGGAUAAAAGCUACCCUGGGGAUAACAGGCUUAUCACUCCCAAGAGUUCACAUCGACGGAGUGGUUUGGCACCUCGAUGUCGGCUCAUCGCAUCCUGGGGCUGUAGUAGGUCCCAAGGGUUGGGCUGUUCGCCCAUUAAAGCGGUACGCGAGCUGGGUUCAGAACGUCGUGAGACAGUUCGGUCCCUAUCCGGCGCGGGCGCAGGAUAUCUGAGAGGAGCUGUCCUUAGUACGAGAGGACCGGGAUGGACCGUCCGCUGGUGGACCGGUUGUCAUGCCAAUGGCACGGCCGGGUAGCCAAGACCGGAAGGGAUAAACGCUGAAGGCAUCUAAGCGUGAAGCCCCCCUCAAGAUGAGAUAUCCAUACUCGAAAGAGUGAGAGACCCCUUAGAGACGAUGAGGUAGAUAGGGCAGAGAUGGAAGUGCAGCGAUGCAUGGAGUUGACUGUUACUAAUCGGUCGAAAGCUUGACCUU
rnacentral:rRNA from 1 species